CCUGACUGCUAUCGGAUUGAUACUAAGCCAUGCGAGUCAUUGCAGUAAUGCAAGGCAGACGGCUCAGUAACGCGUAGUCAACCUACCCUAUGGACGGGAAUAACCUCGGGAAACUGAGUAUAAUGCCCGAUAGAACACUAUACCUGGAAUGGUUUGUGUUCCAAAUGAAUGUCGCCGUAGGAUGGGACUGCGGCCUAUCAGUUUGUUGGUGAGGUAAUGGCCCACCAAGACUAUUACAGGUACGGGCUCUGAGAGGAGUAGCCCGGAGAUGGGUACUGAGACACGGACCCAGGCCCUAUGGGGCGCAGCAGGCGAGAAAACUUUGCAAUGUGCGAAAGCACGACAAGGUUAAUCCGAGUGGUUUGUGCUAAACGAACCUUUUGACGGUCCUAGAAACACUGUUGAAUAAGGGGUGGGCAAGUUCUGGUGUCAGCCGCCGCGGUAAAACCAGCACCUCAAGUGGUCAGGAUGAUUAUUGGGCCUAAAGCAUCCGUAGCCGGCUCUGUAAGUUUUCGGUUAAAUCUGUACGCUCAACGUACAGGCUGCCGGGAAUACUGCAGAGCUAGGGAGUGGGAGAGGUAGACGGUACUCGGUAGGAAGGGGUAAAAUCCUUUGAUCUAUUGAUGACCACCUGUGGCGAAAGCGGUCUACCAGAACACGUCCGACGGUGAGGGAUGAAAGCUGGGGGAGCAAACCGGAUUAGAUACCCGGGUAGUCCCAGCUGUAACUAUGCAAACUCAGUGAUGCAUUGGCU
rnacentral:rRNA from 1 species